CGCCAUAUUGCUUAGUGAAUAACAUCGUUGAUUUCGCCAUUUGAUUACAUUGCGAGUAGUUGAAUGUUUGUUAAUUUAUGUAUCGUUAAUUUGGUUUUUGAGUGUUGUAGGCGAAUCUGUUGUAAUUUCUCAAAAGUUUGGUUGUUUUAGAAAUAGAAUGUGUGAUUUUUAACCAGUGUGACAAUCUAUAAAGUAUGAUAUUAUAAUAUAUUAUGGCAUCGUGUGUUGCCUAUGGUUGUGUGAACAGAAGUUCUAGGAAAACUGAGAGCCAGUUACUGAAGGAAAAGCAUAAGAAGAUAACCUUUCACAGGUUUCCCAGAGAUCCCGUAAGGCGUAAGCAGUGGAUAAAAGCUGUACGUAGAAGAAAUUGGACACCGUCAUCUUUCAGCUCAUUGUGCUCACAGCAUUUUUCCGAAGAUUGCUUCGAUAAAACAUCCCUCUGCGUUGUGAGAUUGAAGGACCAUGCUGUGCCAUCAAUUUUUCCUGGUUUUCCAGCUCAUCUGCAGAAGAUAGUCAGCAGUUCUGCUGCAGACACAGAUACCUGGCUGGACCCUCAAACUAUCAAAGAUGAGUUUCGUGUUGAAGAAAGUGGCUGUGUAACGAGUGAGUUUGCACCUGAGGAUAACAUUUCAGAAAAUACUUCGUCGAUGACUUACUUGGUGUGCCAAGAUUGCAACAUGGUUCUAGCGAGUUGCAAGUGCUUCAAAUGGCUUGAAGCAUCUCACGAACAUGAAGAUGGCACUUCAGUUAUGAGAAGACAAAGGCUGCAGGAGGGUUCUUUAACAUCUCUAAAAUGCAACCACAAGUGCGACAGAUGUGGAAAAUCAUGUGUAACAGAAGUUCAUCUUACGAAGCACAUGAAAACUCAUAAAAAGGAACGUUCCUUGAGAUGUGAACUGUGUGGUAAAAAAUUUAUUAAUAAAAGUGAUUUUCUUGUGCACGUCAGAACUCAUACAGUAGAGCAUCCCUCUAAAUAAUUUUAAAUCUUUUGAACAUAGAAGAACACUUGUUGAGCACAAGGAAACGCACAGAGGUGAACAUCUCUUUCAGUGUGAACUAUGCAGUAAGACGUUCAACCAGAAAAUUCAGCUGUUGUGCACGUAAGAACUCAUACAGGGAGCUUCACUCAAGCUGCAAAGUGUGUGGUAAAUCGUUUACAAGCAGAAGUAUGCUUGAUACGCACAUUCAGACUCGCACAUGAGAAAAUCUACAAAGUGUGUACUGUAGAAUGGGGUGAAUAGAACAGUUUUAAAUUUCACCUUCUUGGAGUUUGAAAACUAUAAGAGAAAAAUCUCAUACCUCCCUAAAUCCUGGUCCAUGCGUGUACUUUACAUCUACAAUAUGGUAUAAGCUAACAGAUUUUAACACUUAAUAAUUUUGCCUGGGAAAUGUGAUUCAGCAAACUACUGGGUAUAUAGAAACACUGAAAUAAUUUUUAAAAAGUAAAUAAUGAUUAUAAUGUAUUAUACAUUGAAAUUUACUACAUAAUUUUGCAUACAUACCUACAUAUUUUGUCUUAGCCAUAGCUAGAUACAAAGCAGAAAAUAAUUAAUAUUUUAUUCUGUACUGUAGCAUGAGCUUUUCGUUCCACCAGUAAGCUGUCACUGUUAAACAAACUCUUCAUAUGGUCCUUCUACAUAGACUUACUUAUUUCUCCAGUCCACAGGAAAGAGAAGUCCUCUACCAUACUUCUGAGGUGAAUCAUGUUUUACCCUGACUUGGCAAAAUUCAAAAUCAGAUACAUCAGGAACAUCGGGGUAUCAAUACACAAAUCCAUUUUUUUCUCGCGUUGACCUUCCACGCAAAAAUUCCUCAGCAUUAUGGUCCCUUCAAUGGAUAUAACUUUCCCAAUGUAAACUGGAGCAAAAUAAUUUAGAUAAACUCGCAGAUCCCUUCAUAUAAGGAAAAGACACCACCAACCAGUCACUAACAUUAAAGUCUUCUACUGAAGGUGGCACAUUCAAUUCAUUAUUAUGACAUUCAUUUUCCUCAUUUGCAUCACCACUGCUGGGUGCAGGUGAAUCUGGUUAAUCUGAUGAAUCUUCAGGAGUGUUGGAGUCUUCAUUCUCAAGAGCCACACUUUUUCCAGCCUCCACAUUUAGUCUUUUUCGUCUCUUUGCAGUUUCGGCAGAGAUACAAGUUCCACCUGAACUUCCAUACCUCAUUUUCUGAAAAAGUUUCAAAAUUGAGUCAUCCAAUGCUGGAAUGUUACCAGUCCCAGCAUCAUCAUUUUGAGGCUGUUGUUUCCAGACUUCUCUUCGGUUGAUGGGGACUAUUCCACAAUUGCGAAACCCAGAUAGAAUAGGUCUCUUUGGCAUUGACUUCAGUGGCACUCAAAAGCUGGGUUAACAACCUAGGAAAUACAUCCUUUCUUAUGGUUGUUUCACUUCUCCCUGGUCCCUUCUUCCAGGCAAGUAAAAUAUUUCUUCAUGCCCGUUUCAGGGGAGCGAAGAAAGCCACAUCAAGGGGCUGUGUGAUAUGUGUAGAACACUUAGGAAGGAAAAUAAAUCUUAUGUUCUCAUUGCUACACAGGCGAAUUGACUCAAGUUGACAAAUGGGAUGUUAGAUUAUCCCUUAUAAGCACUUUAGGCCCUUCCAACUUUCUAAAAUAUGGUAAAGCUACUGUGUUUAUCCACUCAUCAAAACAGUCUGCAACGAACCAGCCAGUUUUUGUCUGAUUGUAUCUUACCUCUUUUCUACUGCCUUCCAUCCAAGACUUGUACAAAUGAACUGAUUUGUAAACAACAUAGCAUGGCAAAAGUGAACCAUUUGAAGAUGCUGAAAACACAAUAGAAGUUGGUGACUUGCUAUGAUUUAGAACCCUAUCAGGAUAUUUGCAGCCUCGUUUCACAAACACCUUUGUUUGGCCAGGAUCAUCCGACAGAUUGAUCUCGUCAUAUUUUACAAUAUUUGUAAGAGAAACACCCUCAAAUUCUUUCUCAAUGUUGUCAAAGUAUGCAUUGAUGACUCUGGUGACACUGAGGCUCUGGCUUGUUUAAUGUUUUGGCACAAGUUGAAGACCACUGCUUUGCAUGGCGUUGUAGAAACCCAAGAGCAAAUUCUCUUCCAGGAAAAUUAUUGUUCUUGAACCUUUUGACAGUCUUCCCACAUUUGUCAAGAUAGUUCUUUACCAAUGCUCUGAGAUUGUAUUGGUCCAGAGGAUACCCCCAUUCUGAGCACUUUAAAAGUCUGUCAGCAAUCAUUUCUUCUUGAUUUGUUAACACAGUUUGACCUCCAUGUUAAUGAACAGAAGCACUUUUUAUCAUGUGUGUAUGCAACACAGUUGUGUAAAUAUUAUAUUUCUUGGACACUUGCCUAUAGCUCAAUCAAUUAACGAAUAUGUCCUGUUUUGCUUUUGCUAAUGUUUCUUUAUCUGUUUCUACAUUGUAGAGUACAAAAAACUGAAUUAAAAAUAAUAACUUCUUGACAAUUUUCACUUCAUAUGCUAUCAGAACCAAAGUUUUUUAACCUCAAAAUAUCGCAACAAUAACAGUUAACUCAUCGACAAGUGAGAAAUUCAUUACCAGGAUAACCAACUUAAAAAAUUUACAUUUUGCAGUCAUGGGGUGUAUUUAAAAUAAAAUCUAUAGAAAAACAUUUUUAACUUUUAUUAUGUCAUAUUCAUACAACAAAAUAUAAGAAAUGGAAGAUUUGUUCCUAUUCACCCUAUUCUAUGGUAUUUAAUUAUUUACAAGUAGGGAUAAGCAUGUUUUGCCCAACACAAUUCCUACAGGAGAACAAUCUUUUGUAAUCCAUCGCUGGAUAGAGUGCACUUUAAUUGUGAUAAAAUAGUGUAACCUUUUUCAGUUCCACAAAUUAUUAUUCUUGCAUCAGAUGCAAAUUAGAAGAAUUAAUAAUUUAGUUUUGAAUAAAUAAUCUCAGUUUAUAAAAACCUAGUAAUUUUUUUUGUAAUAACUUACCCAGUUUGUUUGCCAAAAAUUAUAAUUUUUAAAGUUAUAUUUUAUAGGCACAUAUAUGAAAAAUUGGUGAUUUUUUUACAAUGUGCACGCACCCUGCAUAGAAAUAUUUACAGAAGGAAAAAAAGGCUACAUAUAAAUUAAAAUUAUGUAUUUGCUUUUAAACCUUAUACUUUAGUGAUAGAUUUUGAAUAGUUAUUUAUUGGAAAUAUUAGUGAUAGAAAUUUUGUUUAUAAACUUGAAAUGUAUUUAUAUAAGUGAGGUUAUGUUCCCUUAUGUAUUAUUUAUUUGCAUUAUAAAAUUUAAAUUAUCAA